ensembl:snRNA U6 U6 spliceosomal RNA
GCGCUCAUUCGGCAGCACAUAUACUAAAAUUGGAACGAUACAGAGAAGAUCAGCGUGGCUCCUGCACAAGGAUGACACACAAAUUCAUGAAGUGUUCCAUAUUUUU